GACUAUUUAACACGCUACAGACUACACAGUGCUGCAGGAGAGCCUGGGACUAUUUAACACUACAGACUACACAGUGCUACAGAAGAGCCUGGGACUAUUUAACACUACAGACUACACAGUGCUGCAGGAGAGCCUGGGACUAUUUAACACUACAGACUACACAGUGCUACAGAAGAGCCUGGGACUAUUUAACACUACAGACUACACAGUGCUGCAGGAGAGCCUGGGACUAUUUAACACUACAGACUACACAGUGCUGCAGGAGAGCCUGGGACUAUUUAACACUACAGACUACACAGUGCUGCAGGAGAGCCUGGGACUAUUUAACACUACAGACUACACAGUGCUACAGAAGAGCCUGGGACUGUUUAACACUACAGACUACACAGUGCUGCAGGAGAGCCUGGUACUAUUUAACACUACAGACUACACAGUGCUGCAGGAGAGCCUGGGACUAUUUAACACUACAGACUACACAGUGCUACAGAAGAGCCUGGGACUGUUUAACACUACAGACUACACAGUGCUGCAGGAGAGCCUGGUACUAUUUAACACUACAGACUACACAGUGCUACAGAAGAGCCUGGGACUGUUUAACACUACAGACUACACAGUGCUGCAGAAGAGCCAGGGACUGUUUAACACGCUCCCCCCAUACUGCAGAGAACCAUCAACUGGCUGAAGACCUGAAUGUGUAUUACUGCAGGUUUGAUCAGCCCACUUUCACACCCCUCACCCACCUCAACUCAAGCAUUAUACAACCAACUGCACCCCCUGCUACCACCUCCUCCCUCCCCCCUGACUCCCCACCGGCACUGACGGUCUGUGAAGAGAACGUGUAUCAGCUCUUUCAGAGACAGAAGAUCAGGAAGGCGCCAGGCCCACACGGCGUGUCACCCUCCUGUCUGAAAGUCUGCGCUGACCGGCUGGCCCACAUCUUCACACGGAUCUUCAACAGAUCGCUGGAGCUUUGUGUAGUCCCCUCCUGCUUCAAACACUCCACUAUCAUCCCGGUCCCCAAGAAACCCUCCAUCACUGGACUGAAUGACAACAGGCCUGUUGCCCUGACGUCUGUGGUCAUGAAGUCCUUCGAGAGACUGGUGCUGACCCACCUGACGGACAUCACAGGCCCCCUGCUGGACCCCCUACAGUUUGCCUAUCGGGAAAACAGGUCAGUAGAUGAUGCAGUGAACAUAGGACUGCACCACAUCCUGCAACACCUCGACUCCCCAGGGACGUACGCAAGGAUCCUGCUCAGCAUUCAGCUCGGCAUUCAAUACCAUCAUCCCAGAACUCCUCCUCACCAAACUCACCCAGCUCACUGUGCCUCCAUCUGCCAGUGGGUCACAAACUUCCUGAUAGACAGGAAGCAGCAGGUGAGGCUUGGAAAAAUCACAUCCAGCACCCGAACAGUCAGCACUGGCGCCCCUCAGGGAUGUAGCCAGGGACUAUUUAACAUGCUACAGACUACACAGUGCUGCAGGAGAGCCUUUGACUAAAUUACCAGUCUCUCCAGCAGGUGGUGGGCCCAGGCCCAGUCGUGUCCUGUAACUGCAGUUCCAGUCAUAGUUUACUCAGACUAAGUUAAGUUAAGAGUAAGGUUUACUUAGGCUGAGGCUCAAACUUUUGGCCUCUGGGUCCAGUCUGCAGUCAAAGUGAAUGCAUUUAUUAGCUUUGCUGGCCACUCAGGCUGCCUAAAAUUAGCUUUUUACUUCAGUUUUCUGGACAUCAAUUCCUCAGUUAUUUAGUAUUGUAUGUUUAUUUAAAGUAGACUGUCUGGUGGCAUAGUGGACUACCUGUCUCUUCUCAACAAAAAGCCCUUCUUCAAAUUAUUCAACUUACUUUUAGGACUGAAUUUACUCUUUACAAUCAGGAAGCUAUGCCCUUCUUUCUAUUUCCUGUGUGAUGUUUACCAGUAAAGACACUAGAAAUAACACACAGUACAACCAACAUAUGAGAAAUACCACAAAAUUAUCAUUCUAAGCUUUAGUAGCCAGAUAACACAAGGCCUAUGACCUUAACUAUGCCAAAUCUACUUAUUAAUAGAUGUUUGUAGCAUACACUCACUGCAUUCAGUUGUUGAAUUAUAUUUGAAGUCUUGCCGUGUCACCUUCUCACUUUUGGUCUUAAGCAGAAUGGGUAGCUAUAUGUCCUGCCGUUUCAUGUCAGACCAGAGAUGCCACCCAGCAGUGGGAAAGCUGAACAUCGACACAGUGUUCAGCAACCACCGGGACAGGGCACCACGACCUCAACUCCUGAAAGACCUGAGUGUAAUAUUAUCCUUCUGGGAUACAGGAUCUGGGCGGCCCAGGACCAGCUUCAAAUCUGGAACACCCCAGCUAUUGGCAGGAGAGGUGUAUCUGGCUCAAAAUCGACCCAAUUAUGCUGCAAUGUGCACCAGACAUUAGAAUCACUGUAAUGUUGGAGUCUCAAACAAAACAUUUGCACGAUCAAAGACAUUUGAAGUUGGUGUGGUCUUGCAGAUGGAGAUCAUACUUUAUCGAAGUUUUUUUGCAGUGUUUCUCACCUCUGCUGUGAAUUGUUGAGUGUGAGACCUGUAUCUCAAGCCCGAUCAGCUGGGUCACAUUUAUUUUGGAACAUCACAAAACAGAUUAUAGGAUAACAUGAACAGCCCCAUUUUGUGUGUCAGCGUCUGUGUGUGUGCGUGCAUGUGGGUGUGCGGGUGAGUGUUUCUGUCUGAUGAAUGUACUGAUAUAGACUCAUCCAUCCAUUUCCUAUGGCCAGCCAUAUUUGACUAGAAACACUACAGAUGCACAAAAUUUGAAGUUGUAAAUUGGUCAUAUUUGACGGGAACACAACCUAAAAUAUUAACAACAAAUUUUACAAAUAACAAUGGCAUGAGACAUUUACAAAAGUAUAAUUCCAAA